UACGUAGGGGGCAAGCGUUGUCCGGAUUUAUUGGGCGUAAAGAGCGUGUAGGCGGCCAGACAGGUCCGUUGUGAAAACUCGAGGCUCAACCUCGAGAUGUCGAUGGAAACCGUCUGGCUAGAGUCCGGAAGAGGAGUGUGGAAUUCCUGGUGUAGCGGUGAAAUGCGCAGAUAUCAGGAAGAACACCUAUGGCGAAGGCAGCACUCUGGGACGGUACUGACACUGAGGCACGAAAGCGUGGGGAGCGAACAGG
rnacentral:rRNA from 1 species